rnacentral:misc_RNA from 1 species
UCUCCGUAGGUGAACCUGCGGAGGGAUCAUUACUGAGUGAGGGCUCCGGCCCGACCUCCAACCCCAUGUGAACCGAAACCUGUUGCUUCGGGGGCGACCCUGCCGUCCGCGGCUGAGCGCCCCCGGGGGAAAUCAAACACUGCCUCAAUUUGUGUCGGAGUACCUGUUAAUAAACAAAACUUUAAACAACGGAUCUCUUGGUUCUGGCAUAGAUGAAGAACGCAGC